rnacentral:rRNA from 1 species
GAAUUUUGGACAAUGGGCGAAAGCCUGAUCCAGCAAUGCCGCGUGCAGGAUGAAGGCCUUCGGUUUGUAAACUGCUCUUGUACGGAACGAAAAACCUUGGGUUAAUACCCUGGAGUAAUGACGGUACCGUUAGAAUAAGCACCGGCUAACUACGUGCCAGGCGCCGAGGUAAUACGUAGGGUGCAAGCGUUAAUCGGAAUUACUGGGCGUAAAGCGUGCGUAGACGGUUUGGUAAGACAGAGGUGAAAUCCCCGGGCGCAACCUGGGAACUGCCUUUGUGACUGCAAGGCUAGAGUACGGCAGAGGGGGGUGGAAUUCCGCGUGUAGCAGUGAAAUGCGUAGAUAUGCGGAGGAACACCGAUGGCGAAGGCAACCCCCUGGGCCUGUACUGACGCUCAUGCACGAAAGCGUGGGGAGCAAACA